GCUCCCCUCCCCCCUCCUCUACUCGCCAGGCCCGAGGUGCAGCCUCCUGAGCCGCUGCGAGCCUCCUAAACCGGCGUCCCUGGUGCCCGAGCUGACACCAGCUGUCAGUUCCACUUAGGCCCCGCGGCCCUCAGCCACAGCCGGGUGCCCAACGCCCGAAGGUGACCAGGCUGGAGUUUCCCUUGCUCCCAGUACAACCUUUGGCAGAUGAAGGGCCCCAGGUUCUCAGUUUGACAAUUGCACCUGCUCCGGUCUUUGGGUAAGUAUUUAAUGUCUCUAAGCCUCCCUCCUUCCUUUCCCUCCUUGUUCCCUUUCUCCCUCCCUUCCCUUUCUUUUUUAUAAAAUGGGAAAAAUAAAAAAUGCCCCUCCC
rnacentral:lncRNA from 1 species